rnacentral:lncRNA from 1 species
CCAGAGUGACUAAACUCGGCUUUAUCCUUGUUGAAAGCCUUAUUGACGUCCUCUUUAAGCUCGAUGAAUCGCGUUCGCUUCACUCGUUGCUCUUCUUGAGUUCCCUUCUCGAGGUAAAACAAGUCUGGUAGGUCAUCCUCCAUGAACUUAUCGAGCACUUCGGAGCAAUGAGGAAAGUAUCGACGCCCCAUCUCGACUGCCAUAAAUAAGAACAUGAAAGAUAGUAUGUUUUAGAAUUGUAAUGAUAAACUAACUAGCUUGAGAAAUAUGUGUAGUGAUUUUGCAUUGUAUUUUUGUUACUUCAGGUGUUUCCUAUUUCCAUUUACACUGAUAAAAUAAACAUUAGAGAAUGCAUUAUAGAGACCUGUGAUUUUUCAUCUUUGAAAGAGACAUAUUACUAAAUAAUAAAGAGUGCAAUUACCUGUUUUCAUUAGAGCUUCCAUCCUAGAAAUAAGUCUCUUGUUUUGCAUUAGGGGAGUUUCAUUGAGAUCAAUAUUAAUAAUUAUUGUUUUUAUUUGUUUAAAAUUAAAAGUAUUGUUUUAUAAUAAGUUUUUUUGGAAAGAAAAAAAAGAUUCUUUGGAGAACAAAAAAAAUAAGGCAUCAUCAAGAUUAAAGAGUGGUGUUGCAGUCAUGCUUUUGAUCAGUAACAUUGUUCGUGUAAGAAAGUAGUUUUUAAGUUAGGUUAUGAUUAGAUUUUUUUUAUUUUUUUCAUUGUAAAUUAUUUUUGUAAGUCAAGUUAUGUAUUUAAUGUCAAUAAAAUUUAUGAAUUAUAAAUUAUUUUUGUAACAAUUUAUUUAUUAAGAUCGUCCGUUUGUUUUCGUGCGACGCACGAGUUAGACACUAGUUUAUUUUGUUGCAAACUGAGUAUCAUCUUUGAAAAGCUAUAGCGACUACUUCCUCGAGUCGAAUAAGAUAAUCAAUUGUUUUUCUUUAACUGUCAAUUUAAAGACACAUUUUAAUUUAUGAAAAAUAUUGUGAAAUUUAAUUUAAUUCUAAGAAAAAUAAAAGCACUCUUUGUUGGGGUCUGGAGGAGUGCGAGAGCACUAGUAGACUAUCAGUUUCAAUUAAAAUUUUGAUAAUAAUUAAAAAAGAAUGCAAGAUAAAAAGAAGAAAAAAAAAGUUUGGUCUCUACAACAUUAAUUUUCUUAAAUAAUUUGUUGUUCAUUUUUCUGCCAACAAUUCUGAAUGAGCCAUAUAUCAUUUACAUGCUUUCUCUUGACAUUCAUUGAAUUAAACCAUUCCUAAAAGUGUGUUUGGUUGGAUAAGUUUGGAAAGGGAGAGGAGGAGAAAAUAUAUUUAAAUAUUGUAUUUGAUUCAAAUUUUAAUAGAAGAGAAGAGAAAAACUUCUUGUAAAAUAAUUUUGUUCUUCUUCCAUUUUCAAAGGAAAAUAGAGGAUCAAUAUAAAUUAAAAAUCAUUUAAAAUUUCUUCCCUUUAAUCAAACACAAUAUUAAAAAUCUCUCUCUUCCCCUCCCCAUUUUUAAACCAAACAUAUUUUCACCUUUUCUCCCUCCCCUCCUCUCCAUUAAAACUCAUCUCUUUCUAUUCCAUCUAUUGAAACAAACAAACCAUGACUUUGAGAAAAGAUUGUUACUUAUUAUUUUCAAUGUCAUUUAAAUUUUCUUUACCAGUUUUAUCAUCUAAUUAAUAUUUACGUGGAUCACUCUCAAACAUGUAUAAUCAUGAUAUAUGAUUAAUAAGGAUAAUUUUAUAAAACUACUAUUAUCUUUAAUUAUUUUAUUUAUAAUAUUUUCUUAAUUUGUGAAAUAAAUCAAAAUGUGACAAUUCUUUGAGAGAUAAGGCGCAAUACUUCUAGAGAACUUAUGAACAAAAGGCUCAUUUUGUCCCUUUUUUGUUUCAAUGUUUUUGUUCAAGAAAAAAAAAUUAAUAAUUUAAAAUUUGACUAAGAAGUAAAUAAAAUCUAAUCCAUAAUUAUUUCAAUCAAGAUUCAAAUUCAAAAUAAGACCAAUUCAUUUCAUCCUUAAGUCAAGGGUGGACACAAACAAAUUUAUUUGUGGGGGCAAUUUAUAACCACAAUGGUGUCAAAAUAACACAAGAGAUUUACCAUGUUAGUGUAUCUUAAUUUUAUCACUAAAAGUAUACAACUUUCUAUAUUAGGUCCCAUCCAAGGUGAAACAGAUUAAUUGAUUUAUUAUUAAGUGUCUUGUUUAACUUUAAAAAAAAAUUAAGGAGCAUGGGCUACUGUGGCAUCUAAUUAACGUGGGUGCACACCUGCCUUAACUGACUUCGAUCAUGCGAAACAUAAUUAUCAAACAAAAAAAUCAAUGUUGGUUCUUGACAAAAACAAAAUAAUAUAAAUCAAGAGAGAAUGUUCGAAUAGCAUUUUCUAAUGCUUUGGAAAUUAUGUAGAAUGUUUUAAAUGAAAAGCAAAUAUUUUGGAGAAGAUUAGCACGAGUCAGGUUGUGGGGCAUCUUCUAAUGCCCAAAGGAAGACGAGCUGAAGAAAGAUAUUGUCCUCCAUUUUUAAAUAUUUAUGUUUAUGUUCAAUCACAAUUUAUGCAGUUAACUUUAUUUUUUUAUUAAUUUAAAAAAUUAUCAAUCUGAUAUAUAUUUUUAUUUAUUUAUUUUAAAUUAAAAUAAUUUAAUUUAAUAUAGUAACUAUUUUAUUUUAUUUAUAAAUGAUUUAAAAUUACAAUAAAUAAAUUAUUUAUUAAUUAAAUAUAUUUUUGAUUUAGUUAGCUAAUUUAUCUAUUUUAAUUAUAAUAAAUAAGUUAUUUUAACAAUAUUUACUUUACUUUAUAAAAAUUAUUUUAAAAUUUAAAAUUAUUUAUUUUAAAGGUUUAAUUGCAAUUUUGGUCUCUUUAUUAUUACCAAUUCACGGAAUUGAUUUUCUUAUUUUAAAUUUUGGUCACUCCCUUAAAUUUAUAAAUUAAAAAAUAUCAAUUUAACAUAUUUUUAAUGAUUUAACAUACAAUUCUAUGAUAUAGAAUCAUCUAAAAACAUUUAUUAUUUAUAUGUUAUUAAUUAAAUUAAAAAUAUAAAAAAAAAUUAUAAAAUUUGAAUCUAAAAUUUAUGACGUUUUAUUCCAAUUUUAUAGAUGUUAAUCAUUCUUUCAUAUGUCACAUUAUUUAAAGUAUUAUACAUCAUUAUUUUUUAAUUAAAAAAUUAAAGAAAGACAAAAACUGUCAACUUUUAAAAUAUAGAAAUCAAUUUUAUAAAUUAAUAAAAAUAGUAACACUAAAACUGCAAUUAAACCUAAAUACAAUAAAAAUUACUAACACAUUAUGAAAUUAAUUAAUGGUAUAUCUUAUAAUUUAUCUGUGUUUCAUAUUUUUAUAGUUUAAUUUGACAACGAAAGUUAGGAGAUAGAAAAUUAUUUAAGCAAGGGAUUUUACAAUUUUAUAGAUGAGUUGGUGAGUCAUAUACCUAUAAAAAAAUUGCACUAUAUAUGUAAGUGAUGAAGAAAGAAACUUAAGUUUUGAUAACACAUUUUCUAGCCUUGUAAUGUACAGAUUCUCUAAAGGAUGAUGAGGAUGAUGAAGAUGAAAUUCCAGAGUGACUAAACUCGGCUUUAUCCUUGUUGAAAGCCUUAUUGACGUCCUCUUUAAGCUCGAUGAAUCGUGUUCGCUUCACUCGUUGCUCUUCUUGAGUUCCCUUCUCGAGGUAAAACAAGUCUGGUAGGUCAUCCUCCAUAAACUUAUCGAGCACUUCGGAGCAAUGAGGAAAGUAUCGAUGCCCCAUCUCGACUGCCAUAAAUAAGAACAUGAAAUAUAGUAUGUUUUAGAAUUGUAAUGAUAAACUAACUAGCUUGAGAAAUAUGUGUAGUGAUUUUGCAUUGUAUUUUUGUUACUUCAGGUGUUUCCUAUUUCCAUUUACACUGAUAAAAUAAACAUUAGAGAAUGCAUUAUAGAGACCUGUGAUUUUUCAUCUUUGAAAGAGACAUAUUACUAAAUAAUAAAGAGUGCAAUUACCU